ACACCACCUUCAUCAAAUUCCAUUUCUUUUCUGCACAACUCCACCGAAACCACUGCACUCCAUCUUCAUCGUGAAAAGGUAGCAUUCGAGAGCAAGAGAGGGAGAGCUGCUCCUCGUGAGUAUCGACUGAAGAAAAGCCGCGAGCUGCAUUUUUCUUUUGUCUCUACUCUGUCCGUAGGCUGAGGGAAGAGACCAGGGAAACAACACUACCUUUGUCAACCUCAGACCAACAUCCACCAGCUGCAACCACCUACAUCACAACACCAUUUCUAGCUGCAAAUUGAACGCAGGACCAAACAGGGUGCGUGAGAGCCGAGAGGAAGGAAGAAAAUUCCAGAUUUCUGUGCGUAAGUUUAGAGUGUAUCUAAGGUAAAUUUCUGGGCUAAUUAAGUUAAGUAUUAUCAGAGGAAGUCUUAUCAGAGGUUGCAUGUAAUUU
rnacentral:lncRNA from 1 species